UGGAAAUCAGGACCAGCGUCCACACCAGAGUGCAGUAGGGGGGAGGGGUCCCAGGCAUCGGGAUCAGGCGGCGCACUGCCAGUGGGAGGACAUGAGUCAGGAUUGGCCACGCCUCCAUCGGGGAGCGAGGAAACGGUCGAGAGGAAGGUUGAAGGCUGGGCGCGUGCGCCAAGUUCAAAUGUACAGGAGGGCGGCGCAGUUGGCAGCCCGGAUAGGGAGCCAGGUCCCAAAGCCCGCCGAAAAGAGGGGGAGGAGCAAGGGGGGUCAACGUCAGCGUCAGAAGAAUCCAGGAAGGAAGGGACCCCGGGGGGUAGCAGGACCCAGAGGAGAAAGGAGAGACGUAAGAGGUGGAGUAAGGCUAGAAUCUUAAACUGGUGUACAGGGGGCGGAGACUCAGAUGGAGCUUCGCCGAUCUAACCCCUAGACGUAGAGCUGGGGCGCUGCGGCUUGAAAAUGGAAACUGUACUUCAAUAAAGACUU